CUUAACACAUGCAAGUCGAGCGGUAACAGAGAGAAGCUUGCUUCUCUGCUGACGAGCGGCGGACGGGUGAGUAAUGCCUAGGAAUCUGCCUAGUAGUGGGGGAUAACUUGCCGAAAGGUAAGCUAAUACCGCAUACGUCCUACGGGAGAAAGGAGGGGACCUUCGGGCCUUUCGCUAUUAGAUGAGCCUAGGACGGACUAGUUAGUUGGUGAGGUAAUGGCUCACCAAGACCGCGAUCCGUAGCUGGUCUGAGAGGAUGAUCAGUCACACUGGAACUGAGACACGGUCCAGACUCCUACGGGAGGCAGCAGUGGGGAAUAUUGGACAAUGGGGGAAACCCUGAUCCAGCCAUGCCGCGUGUGUGAAGAAGUCUUAGGACUGUAAAGCACU
rnacentral:rRNA from 1 species